rnacentral:tRNA from 1 species
GGAUAGUUGGUCGAGAGGUUUAAGGCGCCUGCUUGCUAAGCAGGAGAGUGGAAACGCUCCACAGGUUCGAAUCCUGUACUAUCCGCCA